rnacentral:rRNA from 1 species
UACGGGGGGAGCAAGCGUUGUUCGGAUUUACUGGGCGUAAAGGGCGCGUAGGCGGCGCCGCAAGUCGGUUGUGAAAUCUCCGGGCUUAACCCGGAAAGGUCAACCGAUACUGCGGGGCUAGAGUGCAGAAGGGGCAACUGGAAUUCUCGGUGUAGCGGUGAAAUGCGUAGAUAUCGAGAGGAACACCAGUGGCGAAGGCGGCUCGCUGGCUCGAUACUGACGCUGAGGUGCGAAAGCGUGGGGAGCAAACAGG